rnacentral:tRNA from 2 species
GUCGAUAUAGUGUAAUUGGCAACAUCUCUGCCUUCCAAGCAGAUAUUACGGGUUCGAGUCCCGUUAUCGACU